CGAAGGGUGCAAGCGUUACUCGGAAUUACUGGGCGUAAAGCGUGCGUAGGUGGUGAGUUAAGUCUGUCGAGAAAGCCCCGGGCUCAACCUGGGAAUGGCGAUGGAUACUGGCUCGCUAGAGUGCGGUAGAGGAGAGUGGAAUUCCCGGUGUAGCAGUGAAAUGCGUAGAGAUCGGGAGGAACAUCAGUUGCGAAGGCGGCUCUCUGGACCAGCACUGACACUGAGGCACGAAAGCGUGGGGAGCAAACAGGAUUAGAUACCCUGGUAGUCCACGCCCUAAACGAUGCGAACUGGACGUUGGGAGCAAUUAGGCUCUCAGUGUCGAAGCUAACGCGUUAAGUUCGCCGCCUGGGGAGUACGGUCGCAAGACUG
rnacentral:rRNA from 1 species